rnacentral:rRNA from 1 species
GACGAACGCUGGCGGCGUGCUUAACACAUGCAAGUCGAACGGUGAAGCGCUUGCCUUUUUGGUGGGUGUGGAUGAGUGGCGAACGGGUGAGUAACACGUGAGUAACCUGCCCUCUUCUUCUGGAUAACCUCAUGAAAGUGGGGCUAAUACGGGGUAUUCCGGGUCUGUCGCAUGGCGGGUUUGGGAAAGAUUGCGCCUUUGGGUGUUUUCGGUGGGGGAUGGGCUCGCGGCCUAUCAGCUUGUUGGCGGGGUGAUGGCCUACCAAGGCGGUGACGGGUAGCCGGCCUGAGAGGGUGGACGGCCACACUGGGACUGAGACACGGCCCAGACUCCUGCGGGAGGCAGCAGUGGGGAAUAUUGCACAAUGGGCGCAAGCCUGAUGCAGCGACGCCGCGUGAGGGAUGGAGGCCUUCGGGUUGUGAACCUCUUUCGCCAGUGAAGCAGGCCUGCUCCUGUGUGGGUGGGUUGACGGUAGCUGGAUAAGAAGCGCCGGCUAACUACGUG